UACGGCCAAAUCUCACUGAAAGGUCGGUUCCCAUACGAUCACCAAAGUUAAGCAACGUUGAGUCUGGUUAGUACCUAGGUGGGUGACCACUUGAGAAUACCGGGUGCUGUGA